GACAUUUACAAGAACUGGCGGCGGCAGCAGCAGCAGCAGCAGCAGCAGCAGCAGCAGCAGCAGCAGCAGCAACUGGAUUUGCUUUUUCACCAGAGGAUCCAGAUUUCCCUGUGGCCUCGCAAACAAAAAAGAAGGAAGACGGAGCAGCACAGUCAUUCCUUUGUGAAAAAGGCAUUCAGGUAACUGAGUGACUCAGCAAGCCUGGGUCUUGGGGAAAUUACGAAUACCUGGUUGAAGGACAGUCCUCAGGCAGAGCCCCUGAGACCUGUUGAACUCUAGAGUGUGGGAGCAGAGGAGAUUCAGGGCCUGCCCAGGGGCAGAGUGCCCCCAGGACUCGCCCUGGCUCAGUUAAGGACUCCCCUCAGGAUCUGCAGAGGUGCAAGGCAGGGUGCAGCUCUGCCUGGACUGAGCUGGAAAUGCAGCCGUGUGGCUGAAGUGGCCACUUCCUGCUUUCUGUAAAGCAGCCACAGGGACCUGUGAACAGACAGAGUCUCAACCAGGCUGGAGUGCAGUGGCGUGAUCUCGGCUCACUGCAACCUCCGCCUCCCAGGUUCAAGCGAUUCUCCUGCCUCAGCCUCCUGAGUAGCUGGUAUUACAGGUAUUUCAGGACAGCCAGGAGGGGGCGCACAUCCGCCGCGAAACUGUGAGCAAGAGCGUCUGUGCUGAACCAUGGCGCCACCAGAGGGCGCGCGAUCCCGCCCCAACCAACUUCCCGCUGAAGUGCCAGAAGCAGCGAGGAGCUUCAACUUCCUCAGGGCAGCACGGGGGUCGUGUUAAUUUGGUGUUCUUCAUUGAUGAUGAUUAUUCCCCACCUUCUAAGAGACAAAGACCAACGAGCCACCACAGCCACCAGUCCCAGAACCUGCCA
rnacentral:lncRNA from 1 species